UACGUAAGGGGCAAGCGUUGUCCGGAAUUAUUGGGCGUAAAGAGCUCGUAGGCGGUCUGUCGCGUCUGCUGUGAAAACUCGGGGCUUAACCCCGAACUUGCAGUGGGUACGGGCAGACUAGAGUGUGGUAGGGGAGACUGGAAUUCCUGGUGUAGCGGUGAAAUGCGCAGAUAUCAGGAGGAACACCGAUGGCGAAGGCAGGUCUCUGGGCCAUAACUGACGCUGAGAAGCGAAAGCAUGGGGAGCGAACAGG
rnacentral:rRNA from 1 species